CUUGAUCCACUUGGCUACAUCCGCCCCUACCCCCGCACAGGUUUCAGUCCUUAUCUAUGAUCAGAUCCUUUCUGAACCCCCGUCAAUAAGAUAUAUGAAUAGUAUAGUUCAUAUAUAACUAGUAAAUAUCACAUAUACAUGGCUUUCUUCCAUAACGUAAACAAAAAAUGCACAUCUUAUAUUCAAACCCGAUUCUAGAAGAAUUCUGUUGUUAGGAGGCCCCGGGGCAUGAGUUGAUGUCUAGAGAACUCUUCUUAUAGGACCGGACUAGGGAACAACCAUCCCACACCGGGGGAACGG
rnacentral:lncRNA from 1 species